rnacentral:rRNA from 1 species
UACGUAGGGUGCAAGCGUUGUCCGGAAUUAUUGGGCGUAAAGAGCUCGUAGGCGGCUUAGCAAGUCGGGUGUGAAAACUCCAGGCUCAACCUGGAGACGCCACUCGAGACUGCUAUGGCUAGAGUCCGGUAGGGGACCACGGAAUUCCUGGUGUAGCGGUGAAAUGCGCAGAUAUCAGGAGGAACACCAGUGGCGAAGGCGGUACUCUGGGCCGGAACUGACGCUGAGGAGCGAAAGCGUGGGUAGCGAACAGG